UACGGAGGGUGCGAGCGUUGUCCGGAAUCACUGGGCGUAAAGGGCGCGUAGGCGGCAGGCCAAGCGUGCGGUGAAAGUCCGGGGCUCAACCCCGGAUCGGCCGUGCGGACUGGUUUGCUAGAGCACUGUAGAGGCGAGUGGAAUUCCGGGUGUAGCGGUGGAAUGCGUAGAGAUCCGGAAGAACACCGGUGGCGAAGGCGGCUCGCUGGGCAGUGGCUGACGCUGAGGCGCGACAGCGUGGGGAGCAAACAGG
rnacentral:rRNA from 2 species